GAUGAAGAACGUAGCGAAAUGCGAUACGUAAUGUGAAUUGCAGAAUUCAGUGAAUCAUCGAAUCUUUGAACGCAUAUUGCGCUCUUUGGUAUUCCGAAGAGCAUGCUUGUUUGAGUAUCAGUAAACACCUCAACCUCUUCUUGAUAUUUCAAAAGGAGGGUGGACUUGAGCUAUCCCAACAACCUUUACCGGUCGGCGGGCGGCUUGAAAUGCAGGUGCAGCUGGACUUUUAUCUGAGCUAAAAGCAUAUCUAUUUAGUCCUCGUCAAACAGGAUUAUUACUUUUGCUGCAGCUAACAUAAAGGAUAAUUGUCCUCUUUGCUGACUGAUGCAGGAUUUUACGACACUUUAUGUGUUGUUCAACUCGAUCUCAAAUCAAGUAAGACUACCCGCUGAACUUAAGCAUAUCAAUAAGCGGAGGA
rnacentral:misc_RNA from 1 species